rnacentral:tRNA from 1 species
GAAAUAUAUAAAUUAAUUAAAAUUAAGCUUCUAACUUAAUUUUUAGUGGUUAAAUUCCAUUAAUAUUUCU